rnacentral:tRNA from 1 species
GCCUAGUGAUAUGAUAGCCUAGUGGACAUGGCAUCUGCCCGGUAAGCGGAACACUGUGGGUUCGAUUCCCAUCCCUGGACA